CAGAUCCGCCACAUCCUCACCCAACCGUCCCUCUCGCGUCCCAUCCCGGUCUCUUCACGCAGCUCCUCGCUGUGCUACCUGCGGCGGCUGCAUCAAGUGAUGUCCGGCGAAUCCCGCCAACGCCAAGCACAGCCCGAGGUCCCUUUGCUCCAUGGAGCCUUCCCAUCCAGCUAGAUCGAGUGCUUGCUGCCACCAAAGCCCACCCGCGACCCAUCCCGCAUGGCUAGGGUUUCAGGCGUCGGAUCUGGUGUCAGUGGCCAUGUCGUCCUCGUUUCCUCCGAUGUGCGGGGAGGAACGGGCAGUGGACAACCUUGCUGCGACUCGGGAUGAAGCAGCCACGAGCUUCCUCCUCCUCCGGCUUCAGUGGAGGUGUACCAACGGUAGUUUGAAGCAGAUUAGGCGGCCGCGGGCAUCUUUGGCGGUGAGGCCGUCCAGUGAAGGAAAUGGCAGUGUGGCGAUUUGUGUUCUAUUCUCCAUCCUUUAAGCUCAUAACAGAAGAAAGAACUAUACAAUCACUAUUAUUUUAUUAAGAAAAAACCUAUCAUGUACGCAUGUUUUGAUGAGUACUCCUCUUGACUCGAUUGUGUUGUAGGGAGUGGAAGCAUCCAAUUGCGGUGAUCUGCAGCUCUGGUCGCCUCCAGCAGCACCACAUAAUCAAAGUUCCAAACAGUUGUGUUGGACUGCUGCCUCUAGCCAACCAUAACAUAAUCAUUGGAUGUGCUUCUUAUGUAGAAGAUUUGAGUGAUCUAUGUGUUUAUUUCAGAAAACAUUUUCUUAAUGAAGAUUUAUAUUAUAUAGAUAUUCCUGUACAUUAGCUUUAGUUUUUUUGCUAACUAGAAAGUGGUUUCCUUUUUCUUACACCAACUCACUAAAGCAUUGGGUUCAUUUGGGGUUCCUAGAUAGCUAAUUUUAGGAGCACACAAGAUUUCGACUCCUGCUAUGUAAUUAAAGGAAAUCAUGAUAUUGACUAAUAUCCUCUGUAUAUUUACUAACCCUGGAUCGGAGACAUUUAAAUUUAAAUUAUAAUUUGGAAAGUUUAUUUAUAGGAAUGAUACAUAGUAUGUAUAAAUGCAUUUAUGAAAAUAAAUUUAUUUCAGCCACAUGUAAGCCAACACAGUAUCACAUGUAAUAUUUCUCAAUUAGUUAAAAGUAUGCUUCUUUUAAAACUGGUGGUUUUAUUUUUUAUUACAUAAAAAUGUUAUAGUUAUACAUGGCAAACUAAAAUUGUUGUGCAGACACACUGGUUGAUGACUAGUCUAACUAACUCAGGGAUAAAUUCAUUGAGUAAGAUGUAAAGUUGCCAAGAUAGUAACUAGGGCACAUAGAACGGGACGAAUAUAGAUUCUCUUAUUUUAUUAAGUAGAAUGGAACUUGGUGAAGCUUUACUUGUGUUGCGCUGUUCUAGAGAUGCAUAAGACACAUGUAACCAUUUUCCCUUGGCAUUGCAGCUGCAUGCACCAACUUGAUGUAGGGCGACACCAUGGAAGGUAUACACUCUCCCUCUCCCUACUGUACUACCGCUCGUUGUGUCCAUGAACAUUGAGCCAUGCUAGGUUCUAUCUGUCCAUAUAAUGUUAUUGAGCCAUAUUGUUCUGUAGGCUAUGUCGUAUAUUAUGGCGUCUGGAUUAGUCAUCAAUGAUCACUAACACUCAUGCUGGUAUAUUUCCAGAAUCAUAACAAGGACGUAGUUCUUGCUACAGUUCUAAGUUAUGAUCCCGAAUUUAAACUUAAUGGUGCUGAAAUUAAAAUGCAUUUUGGGCAGUGUAAUACAAAACUUGCGAAAGCUGAAGAUUUGGUACAGAUUCGCAAAAACUGCAAUACUAAUGGUAAUGCAGAAAAAAUAUAUUGCAUGGCCCUCAACGUUUAUUGAAAAGAUAUAUGGAUGAUUAUAUGAGUGCGUAACAAGUAUACUGCAAUGAUGAUGAUGAUGAUGAUGACGAUGAUAUUCUGGUUCAUGAUGAUGAUGAUGACGAUGAUAUUCUGGUUCAUGAUGAUGAUGAUGGAUGCUUUCAAUUUUAGUUAAGUUGUGGGAUGUUCCUGUUGGAUGAUGUUCCUCAGUUAGUUUUAGUCAAGUUGUAGGGAUAUUGAUGGAUGAUUUUAGUUUAGAUUUUGCUGUCAAGAAAAUUUUAGAUUGUGCAUCACAUUUGGAUGAUGUUCCUCCUGUAAUAUCCAUUGUUGUAAUCCAACAGUUUUAUCUGAUAUAUGAUUUCUUCCUCUUGUGAGUA